AUUGAACGCUGGCGGCAGGCCUAACACAUGCAAGUCGAGCGGAUGAGUGGAGCUUGCUCCAUGAUUCAGCGGCGGACGGGUGAGUAAUGCCUAGGAAUCUGCCUGGUAGUGGGGGACAACGUUUCGAAAGGAACGCUAAUACCGCAUACGUCCUACGGGAGAAAGCAGGGGACCUUCGGGCCUUGCGCUAUCAGAUGAGCCUAGGUCCGAUUAGCUAGUAGGUGAGGUAAUGGCUCACCUAGGCGACGAUCCGUAACUGGUCUGAGAGGAUGAUCAGUCACACUGGAACUGAGACACGGUCCAGACUCCUACGGGAGGCAGCAGUGGGGAAUAUUGGACAAUUGGCGAAAGCCUGAUCCAGCCAUGCCGCGUGUGUGAAGAAGGUCUUCGGAUUGUAAAGCACUUUAAGUUGGGAGGAAGGGCAGUAAGUUAAUACCUUGCUGUUUUGACGUUACCAACAGAAUAAGUCUCGGCUAACUACGUGCCAGCAGCCGCGGUAAAAC
rnacentral:rRNA from 1 species